AAUACAUCUGUCCUCCUAAGCUGACCUUUAGAAGACUCAGCCAGAGCUGGCCAUGGUCAUUCCUUGCACAAAAAUCAGUGGAUGGGGUGUGCAGCUCCCCAGGCUCACAGCAAGUCCUUUGCAAGGAAGAGCCGUGUCUGAGCUGUUCGUCCUGGGAAGGACACCUGGCUGGACCCUUUCUCCCAUAAAACAGCAGCAAAUGAUGGCAUAAGAGAGCAAAGCAUGAGGUGCCUGAAAACCCGUUUGAGGGGCAA
rnacentral:lncRNA from 1 species